ACGAAGACCCUUCACCAGCUCUGGAUUUGGGCAUUGAGGGUAGUUGGCUACUUUGGUGCCAAAAGUUGGUCCUCUUGAUCCAUAAAAUGCCUUUUUAAGGUAACCUUUCUCUAGUCCAAGAUUCUCACAUAACAAAUCCAAAAGCUCUUCUGCUAGUUUCUCUAACCUCAGAGAAAAUUCCUUCAUUACUUUCCUGUACCACAGUUUCCAUAAGAGAUUUAGAAUCAUGAUAAAAGAAGAUAUAUAUGCUUCUACAAAAUCAUAGAAACGUGACAAAAAAAUAUUAUGUUAUGCAAUGUGUUAUAUAUGUCCUAUUAAUAUUUGUUUUGUGUAACCUGUAUUCAUCACUGAGAUCAGGUAUCUCUGAAAUGUUUGAUUCAGGGAGGUGACGAACAUGGAAGGUGCUUUCCCAAUCCAUAUCUUUGACCUCAGUUUGGACAACAUCUAAGCCUUUGCUUGAUAUGACUUCCUUAAACCUAUG
rnacentral:lncRNA from 1 species